rnacentral:lncRNA from 1 species
UAUUGUAAUCCAUAGAAAAAUUGGCUAAUAAGUGCAGUAUCAUCUCACUAAAUAUCAGUUGCAAGUUAUCAAAAUUGUGAAGCAUAUAAUAUUAUGGAUCGAUUUCUUUGUUAUAAAAUGUAGAUCUUGUUGAUUGCAAUACAAGUUGCAUCAUGUUUUCCAUACAUGGAUCAAAAUUUUAAUAAAAAAUCCUCCAAAUUAUCUAAUA